rnacentral:rRNA from 1 species
CACGUAGUUAGCCGGGGCUUCUUAGUCAGGUACCGUCUGGCGGCCCUAAGGCCGGUUUUCUUCCCUGCUGAUAGAGCUUUACGUACCGAAAUACUUCUUCACUCACGCGGCGUCGCUGCAUCAGGGUUUCCCCCAUUGUGCAAUAUUCCCCACUGCUGCCUCCCGUAGGAGUUUGGGCCGUGUCUCAGUCCCAAUGUGGCCGUUCACCCUCUCAGGCCGGCUACUGAUCGUCGCUUUGGUGGGCCGUUACCCCGCCAACUGGCUAAUCAGACGCGGAUCCAUCGUAUACCACCGGAGUUUUUCACACUGUUCCAUGCGGAACCGUGCGCUUAUGCGGUAUUAGCACCUAUUUCUAAGUGUUAUCCCCCUGUAUACGGCAGGUUAUCCACGCGUUACUCACCCGUCCGCCACUAAUCCAUACAUCACUAGGUUUCAAUAUGGAUCCGUUCGACUUGCAUGUGUUAGGCACGCCGCCAGCGUUCAUCCUGAGCCAGGAUCAAACUCU